rnacentral:rRNA from 1 species
GACGAACGCUGGCGGCGUGCUUAACACAUGCCAGUCGAACGGGAAGGCCCUGCUUUUGUGGGGUGCUCGAGUGGCGAACGGGUGAGUAACACGUGAGUAACCUGCCCUUGACUUUGGGAUAACUUCAGGAAACUGUGGCUAAUACCGGAUAGGAGCUACUGCUGCAUGGUGGGGGUUGGAAAGUUUCGGCGGUUGGGGAUGGACUCGCGGCUUAUAAGCUUGUUGGUGGGGUAGUGGCUUACCAAGGCUUUGACGGGUAGCCGGCCUGAGAGGGUGACCGGCCACAUUGGGACGAAGGUGCGGCCCAGACUCCUACGGGAGGAAGCAGUGGGGAAUAUUGCACAAUGGGCGGAAGCCUGAUGCAGCAACGCCGCGUGCGGGAUGACGGCCUUCGGGUUGUAAACCGCUUUCGCCUGUGACGAAGCGUGAGUGACGGUAAUGGGUAAAGAAGCACCGGCUAACUACGUG